rnacentral:lncRNA from 1 species
AUGAUCAUGGAGAUAAUGGAGACUAGAAAUGAGCUGCAAAGAUGCGGUGGGAAAUGCGGGAUGGACAAUAAUAAAGAGAGACGACUCCUUCAGCUGCUUUUCCUCAGCUUUGGUGUGCUGUGCAUCAUACAAGCCACUCUCAAUCUUGCUUUACGCCUCACAUUCGAGGGGAAUGACUCACCCCACACAACAGAAUUAUGUGGCAACAACCAGUUAAAACCAGUAAAUUUUGACCAAAAUAGGCCACGUUGUUGUAGCGAACUACAAGAAACAAUCAUUGCUUUGACCAGAGACAGAAGCAUGCUUGAAAAGAGAAAUGAAGAGCUCCUUGACAUCAUAAAGAGUCUUGAGGAGGAGAAGAAGAGGCAGAAUGGUGAGAAACUGCGAAACAGUUCUUCCUCUUUUCAGUUCUUGCAAAAAAUUUGUGGUAUUCUGAUCUCACGCUCAUCUUUUCUCUCUUAG